CCAGAGACACAGUUUAUACUGCAGUUUGUACCGGAACACAGAUCACAUGACACUCAAGUGCUCCACUCUAAACCUUUGUGUUUUAUUGUUUAUUUACCAGCUCGUUAAAACAUGUAACUGUAGAUAUAAACAACACAACGGAGCACAAACUACUUUAUCAUUUAGUAGAAAUACAUUUAUUUUCAGUUAUUUCUCCAUUUACUUUGAUCACGGAUACAAUUCAAUCCAGAGAGUCGAAGAGUCUGUCUGUCAGCAAGGAACACUUUUUACAUUUACACUUUUAUUUCUGGUCAUUUCCGUUCAGUCACGUGAGGCUGAUGAUUCCUGAGCUUCUGCUUUGAUAGGAGUUAUAUAUUCUCUACUUUACCUGAAGCUUUUAGCCUAAUAAUUCAUCUCCAGCGUUCAAAAGACGCCACAAUCAUAAUCUGGUUAUUAAAUAAUGGAUCCACAAUCAGAAUAUCAAUAAGUACUUUUACUGAAGUACUACACUUGAGUAAAUCACCUUUAUACUUGUACUGCACUACAUCUCAGAGGUAAACAUUGUUCUGGUCUCAGUUCUUCCUGUCAGUUAAACAUGUAUCUCCAGAUGAUGUUUGUGAUGAACUGAAGGAUGAAGUUUCCUUUAUGAGAAGAUUCUUCUUCUUCAGAUGAAUAAAGGGAAACGUGGAUUCAGUUGAACAAAGUCCUUCUACUGGAAAUAAGACUACAUUCUACUAAUCUAACUACAUUUCUUUUAAAAUGUUUUAUAUAAUGUGUGUGUGUGUGUGUGUGUGUGUGUGUGUGUGUGUGUGUGUGUGUGUGUGUGUGUGUGUGUGUGUGUGUGUGUGUGGGUGUACAGUAACUCUCAGACUGGAGAAGAUGAAUGAUUUAAAAGAUGAGGAGGACGGCUCAGUGUCUCCAGUCCCCAGCUGUCUGUCUCUGAAGAGUGACAGGUCUAUGGACAAACCUAUAAAGUUCAGUAAUGAACCUGGACCCUCAGACACAAAACAGAGAGCAGUGUCUCCAGUUCCCAGCUGUCUGUCUGUGAAGAGUGACAGGUCUAUGGACAAACCUAUAAAGUUCAGGAAUGAACCUGGACCCUCAGACACAAAACAGAGAGCAGUGUCUCCAGUUCCCAGCUGUCUGUCUGUGAAGAGUGACAGGUCUAUGGACAAACCUAUAAAGUUCAGGAAUGAACCUGGACCCUCAGACACAGAACAGAGAGCAGUGUCUCCAGUUCCCAGCUGUCUGUCUGUGAAGAGUGACAGGUCUAUGGACAAACCUAUAAAGUUCAGGAAUGAACCUGGACCCUCAGACACAAAAAAGAAGAGCAAAACUCCUGUUUCUGUGGAGGAGCAGCGGUCCAGCUGUGCUUUGUGUCAGGACGUCCUGAAGGAUCCAGUCUCUACCAGCUGUGGACACAGUAAGACUGUACAUCUGUCUGCUGCUGUCUUCAUGUCUGAAAACAGGAUUCUUCCUGCUUC
ensembl:lncRNA